rnacentral:tRNA from 1 species
GCCUUCAUGAUGUAACGGUUAGCAAACUCGGCACAUAUUCGAGAAGUCUAGGUUCGAGUCCUCGCGAGGGCA